CCUACGGGUGGCUGCAGUGAGGAAUAUUGGUCAAUGGGCGCGAGCCUGAACCAGCCAAGCCGCGUGAGGGAAGAAGGCCCUACGGGUGGUAAACCUCUUUUGCCGGGGCGCAAGGGGCGGCACGCGUGCCGGCACGGAGAGUACCCGGCGAACAAGCAUCGGCAAACUCCGUGCCAGCAGCCGGGGUAAUACGGAGGUUGCGAGCGUUAUCCGGAUUUAUGGGGUUAAAAGGGGGCGAAGGCGGAUCGUUAAGUCAGUGGUAAAAUUGAGGGGCUCAACCCAGUCCGGCCGUUGAAACUGGCGGCCUUGAGUGGAGGAGAGGAAUGCGGAAUGCGGGGUGUAGCGGUGAAAUGCAUAGAUAUCACGCAGAACCCCGAUGGCGAAGGCAGCCUGCCGGCUUCCUACUGACGCUGAGGCACGAAAGCGUGGGGAUCGAACAGGAUUAGAUACCCGAGUAGUC
rnacentral:rRNA from 1 species